rnacentral:miRNA from 1 species
CUGGUUUCACGUGGUGGUUUAGAU